rnacentral:tRNA from 5 species
UUGUUAACAGCAUAGCACAUGCAAUAGAUUGUAGAUCUAACCACGGAAAUUACAUCCUUAACAAA